rnacentral:rRNA from 1 species
UACGAGGGGGGCAAGUGUUGUUCGGAAUCACUGGGCGUAAAGGGAGCGUAGGCGGACGUUUAAGUUGGAUGUUUAAAACCGGGGCCCAACUCCGGGGCGGCAUCCAAAACUGGGCGUCUUGAAUGGGACAGAGGCUGGUGGAAUUGGGGGUGUAGCGGUGGAAUGCGUAGAGAUCCCCAGGAACACCGAUUGCGAAGGCAGCCCGCUGGGUCCACAUUGACGCUGUGGCUCGAAAGCAUGGGGAGCAAACAGG